rnacentral:rRNA from 1 species
UACGUAGGGUGCGAGCGUUAAUCGGAAUUACUGGGCGUAAAGCGUGCGUAGGCGGUUCCUCAAGUCCGUUGUGAAAGCCCCGGGCUCAACCUGGGAAUGGCAGUGGAAACUAGGGGACUGGAAUCUGGCAGAGGGGGGUGGAAUUCCUGGUGUAGCGGUGGAAUGCGCAGAUAUCAGGAGGAACACCGGUGGCGAAGGCGGGUCUCUGGGCAGUAACUGACGCUGAGGAGCGAAAGCGUGGGGAGCGAUCCGG